AUUGUACCCAUAGAUAUUUUGUACCCAUUCUAGUACAUUUUGACCAUCUACAAGGUUCCAGGAAAAAAGUAACAGCAGCAAAUGGGGUCAAGCUGUCUUUUCCAUCCAAAAACUAAUUUCUACUUGCAAAAAUAUUUGUAGAUAACCCACCUCGCCUGUCACUAUCCCCCACUGAAUGUAUCCCAUGGGACCGUGUCUCAGAAUCAGGGAAGUGCCAGACCUCUGACACGGUGGGGGUCCGAGAAUGGGAAGACAGCUGACCAACUGUUGUCUAUGACAAAUACACCAGUUGCACUAAAGCUGACCUCAAAUAAUUAUGUUACAGCACAGAGGUGUAACGUGAAGCUGGGCCUCAGUGCAAAAUCUGUCAUAAAGCCCCGAUCUUACUAUGUGCUAUUUAUAAUGCUGGUGUCGUCUUAUGGGGCAAGAUAACUUUGGGCAACCAAAAGGACCCUGGCCUGAAUGAAACUGCUAACUCUGCACCUCUGGGAGAGCUUAAAGAGCCUUGUUGAGUUGCUUUCAACAGUAGAGUGGUGCAUAGUCCGGGAUCAGUCCAACGCCGCUCUCCACACACAACUAACUUUCUUUGUUUAGAUCUGUUUCCUGAUAACACUUGGCAUGUUCCCAGCUGUCAGCAAAAUAUGUACUGAGUUAAGAGCCUUGCUGUCUUCUGCUCCUAUUGGCCGGUGUUCAAAACCUUCAGCUUAUGAGAGCAGAUGAGGGACUGAUGACAUGUUUAUAGAAUGCAUAAACAUUUCAGAACAUACUCACUGUAUGUAUAUAUUAAAUGUAUACAUUGUGAAGUUCAGAUAAAUGUUUUAUCAGGGGGGAUUUAUAUACAGUCAGGCGCAAAGCACAUAACACAUAUAAAACCAACGCUCCAGACAGUAAUCCAACACAGAGAUGCUCAAAGGGAUAACAUAUCCUGCCUGUGUGAUAUA